GGACCUGAUGCAGCGACGCCGCGUGAGUGAAGAAAUGUUUCGGCAUGUAAAGCUCUAUCAGCAGGGAAGAAAAUGACGGUACCUGACUAAGAAGCCCUCGCGCUAACUACGUGCCAGCAGCCGCGGUCAUACA
rnacentral:rRNA from 1 species